CGUAGGGUGCGAGCGUUAAUCGGAAUUACUGGGCGUAAAGCGUGCGCAGGCGGUUUGCUAAGACAGGCGUGAAAUCCCCGGGCUUAACCUGGGAACUGCGUUUGUGACUGGCAGGCUAGAGUAUGGCAGAGGGGGGUGGAAUUCCACGUGUAGCAGUGAAAUGCGUAGAGAUGUGGAGGAACACCGAUGGCGAAGGCAGCCCCCUGGGCCAAUACUGACGCUCAUGCACGAAAGCGUGGGGAGCAAACAGGAUUAGAUACCCUGGUAGUCCACGCCCUAAACGAUGUCAACUAGGUGUUGGGUGGGUAAAACCAUUUAGUACCGGAGCUAACGCGUGAAGUUGACCGCCGUGGGGAGUACGGCCGCAAGGUU
rnacentral:rRNA from 1 species